GAUGAACGCUGGCGGCGUGCCUAAUACAUGCAAGUCGAGCGAACAGACGAGGAGCUUGCUCCUCUGACGUUAGCGGCGGACGGGUGAGUAACACGUGGAUAACCUACCUAUAAGACUGGGAUAACUUCGGGAAACCGGAGCUAAUACCGGAUAAUAUAUUGAACCGCAUGGUUCAAUAGUGAAAGACGGUUUUGCUGUCACUUAUAGAUGGAUCCGCGCCGCAUUAGCUAGGUGGUAAGGUAACGGCUUACCAAGGCGCCGAUGCGUAGCCGACCUGAGAGGGUGAUCGGCCACACUGGAACUGAGACACGGUCCAGACUCCUACGGGAGGCAGCAGUAGGGAAUCUUCCGCAAUGGGCGAAAGCCUGACGGAGCAACGCCGCGUGCGUGAUGAAGGUCUUCGGAUCGUAAACCUCUGUUAUUAGGGAAGAACAAAUGUGUAAGUAACUAUGCACGUCUUGACGGUACCUAAUCAGAAAGCCACGGCUAACUACGUG
rnacentral:rRNA from 1 species